CUUGAUCGACCCCAGCCAGAGGGGUUCUCGCCCCGGCCCGGGCCGUAGACGGCCUGGAGGGCGCGGGCCUC
rnacentral:antisense_RNA from 1 species